CUUGCAUACGAAAAGCAUGGAAUGAUGGAAAAUGGCCUCGUCCGCGCGUCAUCCGUCGGUCUCCGUUCACGACGAGGCAAUGAUCGAAGGGAGCGAUCGGGGCCACUCGUAUUGCGACGUUAGAGGUGAAAUUCUUGGAUCGUCGCAAGACGCACUGCAGCGACGGCGUGUGGCAAGCACGUUUUCCUCGAUCAAGAGCGAAAGUCGGAGGUUCGAAGACGAUCAGAUACCGUCGUAGUUCCGACCGUAAACGAUGCCGACUGGCGCUACCUGUAUUAUUACCCUGACAGUCCACGUUCCUCAUUGAGCAGCCCCGCUCUCUCUUUUUCGUGUGCUGUUAGAAGCUGAAUGGUAGCUUUUGUAUUUCUCCUUCU
rnacentral:ncRNA from 1 species